UACGGAGGGAGCUAGCGUUGUUCGGAAUUACUGGGCGUAAAGCGCACGUAGGCGGCGAUUCAAGUCAGAGGUGAAAGCCCGGGGCUCAACCCCGGAACUGCCUUUGAAACUAGAUUGCUAGAAUCCUGGAGAGGUUAGUGGAAUUCCGAGUGUAGAGGUGAAAUUCGUAGAUAUUCGGAAGAACACCAGUGGCGAAGGCGACUUACUGGACACAUAUUGACGCUGAGGUGCGAAAGCGUGGGGAGCAAACAGG
rnacentral:rRNA from 1 species